rnacentral:rRNA from 1 species
AAUGAACGCUGGCGGUAUGCUUAAUACAUGCAAGUCGAACGAACAAAAUUGGAGCUUGCUUCAAUCGAGUUAGUGGCAAACGGGUGAGUAACAUGUGGGAAUCUGCCCAUCAGUACGGAAUAACAUUUGGAAACAGAUGCUAAUACCGUAUAUUCUCUUCGGAGGAAAGAUUUAUCGCUGAUGGAUGAGCCCGCACAAGAUUAGGUAGUUGGUAGGGUAAUGGCCUACCAAGCCUACGAUCUUUAGCUGGUCUGAGAGGAUGAUCAGCCACACUGGGACUGAGACACGGCCCAGACUCCUACGGGAGGCAGCAGUAGGGAAUAUUGGACAAUGGGCGAAAGCCUGAUCCAGCAAUACCGCGUGAAUGAUGAAGGCCUUAGGGUUGUAAAGUUCUUUUAAUAGGGAAGAUAAUGACGGUACCUAUAGAAAAAGCCCCGGCUAACUCCG